rnacentral:rRNA from 1 species
GACGAACGCUGGCGGCGUGCUUAACACAUGCAAGUCGAACGGAAAGGCCCUGCUUUUGUGGGGUGCUCGAGUGGCGAACGGGUGAGUAACACGUGAGUAACCUGCCCUUGACUUUGGGAUAACUUCAGGAAACUGGGGCUAAUACCGGAUAGGAGCUCCUGCUGCAUGGUGGGGGUUGGAAAGUUUCGGCGGUUGGGGAUGGACUCGCGGCUUAUCAGCUUGUUGGUGGGGUAGUGGCUUACCAAGGCUUUGACGGGUAGCCGGCCUGAGAGGGUGACCGGCCACAUUGGGACUGAGAUACGGCCCAGACUCCUACGGGAGGCAGCAGUGGGGAAUAUUGCACAAUGGGGGGAAGCCUGAUGCAGCAACGCCGCGUGCGGGAUGACGGCCUUCGGUUUGUAAACCGCUUUCGCAUGUGACGAAGCGUGAGUGACGGUAAUGGGUAAAGAAGCACCGGCUAACUACGUG